AAACCAAGAAAUUUAGUCAUUCUUUACGGUAAAAAGACAGUUAAGCUAAAUAAGAACCAUUAGACCUUUAAUACAGGGGUAAAAUCUAAAUAUUAAAAGUUAUACUAAACAUGGUUUAUUAUAUAAAUGCUGAAUCUGUGACAGCUUUUAGGGAAACUGGGAUUGGAUACCCCAUUAUUUCUAGUCGUAAAUUUAACUUAAGUUUACCAGAGUACUACGAAUAAAAAGUUUAAAACUCAAAGAGCUUGGCGGUGUUUUAGACCUCUCAGGGGAACCUGUCUCAUAAUCGACAAUCCACGUGAGACCUGACCUUCAAUGGCAAUUCAGCCUGUAUACCGUCGUCGUCAGGUAACUUCUUAAAAUACAGUAGUUAGCUAGAUAAUUUAAUUAAUUAAAACGUCAGAUCAAGGUGCAGCUAAUAAGAAGGAGAGGAUGGGUUACAAUUACACACUUGUAAUUACGAAAUAACAUCUGAAAUUGAUGCUACGAAGGAGGACUUGAAAGUAAUCUUAAUUAUAUAAAUAGGAUGAAUGGGGCUCUGAAACGUG
rnacentral:rRNA from 1 species